GUAACGUAGACGAAAGCUACGCUAAUACCGCAUACGAUCUAUGGAUGAAAGCGGGGGAUCGCAAGACCUCGCGCGAUUGGAGCGGCCGAUAUCAGAUUAGGUAGUUGGUGAGGUAAAGGCUCACCAAGCCGACGAUCUGUAGCUGGUCUGAGAGGACGACCAGCCACACUGGGACUGAGACACGGCCCAGACUCCUACGGGAGGCAGCAGGUGGGGUAAUUUUGGACAAUGGGCGCAAGCCUGAUCCAGCAAUGCCGCGUGCAGGAUGAAGGCCUUCGGGUUGUAAACUGCUUUUGUACGGAACGAAACGGUGAGCUCUAAUACAGUUUGCUAAUGACGGUACCGUAAGAAUAAGCACCGGCUAACUACGUG
rnacentral:rRNA from 1 species